CGGAGGAAAAGAAACUAACAAGGAUUCCCCUAGUAACUGCGAGUGAAGCGGGAAAAGCUCAAAUUUAAAAUCUGGCAGUCUUUGGCUGUCCGAGUUGUAAUCUAGAGAAGCAUUAUCCGCGCUGGACUGUGUACAAGUCUCCUGGAAUGGAGCAUCAUAGAGGGUGAGAAUCCCGUCUUUGACACAGACUACCAGGGCUUUGUGAUGUGCUCUCAAAGAGUCGAGUUGUUUGGGAAUGCAGCUCAAAAUGGGUGGUAAAUUCCAUCUAAAGCUAAAUAUUGGCGAGAGACCGAUAGCGAACAAGUACCGUGAGGGAAAGAUGAAAAGAACUUUGGAAAGAGAGUUAAACAGUACGUGAAAUUGCUGAAAGGGAAACGCUUGAAGUCAGUCGCAUUGUCCAGGGAUCAACUCUUGCUUUUGCUUGGUGUACUUCCUGGUUAAUGGGUCAGCAUCAAUUUUGACCAUUGGAAAAAGAUUAAGGGAAUGUGGCAUCUUUAGAUGUGUUAUAGCCCUUGGUUGCAUACAUUGGUUGGGAUUGAGGAACUCAGCACGCCGCAAGGCCGAGUUUUUUAACUACGUACGUGCUUAGGAUGCUGGCAUAAUGGCUUUAAUCGACCCGUCUUGAAACACGGACCAAGGAGUCUAACAUGCCUGCGAGUGUUUGGGUGGAAAACCCGAGCGCGCAAUGAAAGUGAAAGUUGAGAUCCCUGUCGUGGGGAGCAUCGACGCCUGGACCUGACCUUUUGUGACGGUUCCACGGUAGAGCAUGUAUGUUGGGACCCGAAAGAUGGUGAACUAUGCCUGAAUAGGGUGAAGCCAGAGGAAACUCUGGUGGAGGCUCGUAGCGAUUCUGACGUGCAAAUCGAUCGUCAAAUUUGGGUAUAGGGGCGAAAGACUAAUCGAACCAUCUAGUAGCUGGUUC
rnacentral:rRNA from 2 species